rnacentral:rRNA from 1 species
GACGAACGCUGGCGGCGUGCCUAAUACAUGCAAGUCGAACGCAGGGGGGACGGGUGAGUAACACGUGGGUAACCUCCCAUCAGAGGGGAUAACCCUUGGAAACAGGUGCUAAACUGAUACUGAUUGAUGGACCCGCGGUGCAUUAGCUAGUUGGUGGGGUAGCGGCUCACCAAGGCCACGAUGCAUAGCCGGUCUGAGAGGAUGAUCGGCCACACUGGGACUGAGACACGGCCCAGACUCCUACGGGAGGCAGCAGUAGGGAAUCUUCGGCAAUGGACGAAAGCCUGACCGAGCAACGCCGCGUGAGUGAAGAAGGUUUUCGGGUCGUAAAGCACUGUUGGUAGGGAAGCGGUAUCUGCACAGAAAGCACCGGCUAACUCCGUGCCAGCAGCCGCGGUAAUAC